CGGACAUGUUGGAGUUGUGUCUGUUAGGAACACAUGUGGGAAAGAGAGAGAGCGAGAGAGAGAGGGACUGAAGGAAAGCAGCUGAGGAAAGCGUUCAAUGCAAAGCGGUCUCGAGGAGAAGAGGAUGAAGGGAAGAAAACACGGAGGAAGAGAAUAGAACAGCGAUGUCUGAGGCGGACAGUCACUCUGGAAGUAUAUCUCUGAUCCAGUCCAUGCUGCGCAGACUGAGCACUGCAGAAGACACGGAUCAACCUCCUAACAUACACCCUAAUACGCACCGUAACACACACCCUAACACACCCCAACACCCCAGAACCUCAGUGGAAACAGACAGGAGAUUCUAUGUGACCCCUCAGGACCACAAUAACGCAGAGCUCAUAUUCAAAGGGAAGCUUGUUUCAGUGAUUGAGGAUGAUGAGGAUGAUAAUGGUGAUCAUGAUGAUAAUGAUCCACAAUUGGAAGUUCUGACUGAGAGGGACAGCGAUCUGGAAUCAUCAGACAGGGAUUCAGAGGAGAGAGAAGAGGGGAACUCUGGCAUUCUAUUUUUGGAUGCAGGAUCGACAAAACUGGUCGACGAGGAGGAAGAGGAAACCAGCGAACCCCCUGCUGUGAUUCCCAGAUGGGAGAGAAGGCAGUUGCUACCCUGUCCCCCUGGCCCGGACGCCAGACCCCCGCCUCCCCCCGUUCCCCCCAAGAGGAGGGCUAAACCACCGCUACACCCUACAGGGCCACCGCCGCCGCCCCCUCCACCAGCCCUCGACCCUAGCCAGAGUGCCCCUGUGUGGGGGAGAGUGGUAGGCGAGGGCCCAGGCUGUGAGCUGAGGCCUACAGGGCAUGGGAGAGGGCCUGGAGGCCAGGAGGAGGAUAUGCUGUCAUCCUCAGGGGAUAGGCUGUCUAUGUACUCAGCUGUCAUCCUCAAGUCAGAACGCCGAUUCUCACAGCCCAUUCUGGAUCCUACUCUGGACUCUACAGCACAGAGGGGUGGGGGCGUGCAGCAGUUGGAGACGACUGUGUCCGUGGCAGCACAGGACCCUUCCCAGCUGAGGGGGAAGGAUAUAGGGCGCCCCCCUAAAGCCUCUGAGCCGGUGGGGAUGGGGGUAAUGGGGGUACCCAAACCGUUGGAAUCGAUUGCACCCAAGCCGCUUAUACCCAAACCUCCACACAGAAACAGAUCUCUGCCCCAGGAACCUGAGAGGAGAGCCCAGGACAGCCCAGAUGGAAGUGCCUCUUCUGGGUCUGAAACGAGAGACAUCCCCCCUGACCUCCAGUCUAUACCUCCAGAGACAGAGGGAGUCAGAGAACCACCAGAGCCUAGCGAACACAUCCCAGAUGGGAGCGAGAGCUCCAGAACCCCUGCCGAGUUUCGGUGUAACACGGAGCAGGGAGGUUUGUUGGAAAGGGGGAGGAAUUUAGAAGGCACACAUGAAGUUGUGGUUCAGGACGCUGUAACAUGGGGUGGUGGGGGUGUGCUUGGGCCGAAACACCCGAAUAUUAAGACAAUGAAAGGAGGAAAGGUGAAGAAAUUUGCCAAGAAGAUGAUGAGCAGAUGGAAGCAGAGGCGAGAGGAGAAGAGAGGGAAUGGAGAGAUUCAGGAGGACGACGGAGAAAAAGAGGUAGAGAGCGAAAUGCCAUUGGUGAACCUCCGUCAAGAUCGACAUUCAGUCAGGUUGCAUACUAAAAUGUCCGUCAUAGAGGAAGAGGAGGACGAAGAGGAGAAGAGGAGUAGUGAGGCUGCUCCACCAAUGAUGGAGCCGCCCAGCCAAGCUGAGACGGAGAGGAAGCCUGUGGGACAGCGUGCACGUUUUCAGAGCUCCUUCAGCUCUUUCAAGUUCAACUUCAGUCCCAUCAGCUUGGUGGAUGAGAUUCUAACAGGAGAGGAGUGGUCACCAUUCCUGUCCAUUAAGGACAGUCCCGCCCCCUCGCCGUCCGUUUACCAAUCAGAGGCUGCUAGCCAACACGGUGGUGAUGAAGGCGACCAAUUAAAGACUGAACCAGAGUCGCGCCUCCCCAACGACGUUCAACAUAACCACGAGGACAUAGGCCAUUCUUUAUAUGAGGAUGUUCACUUCAGCCAAACAGGUCCGAAUGAGAUUGUGGACAACCAAUCGGACAACAGACAUCAGGAAGUAGACAACAACAAUGACACUGGAAAUGAUGCCAUUGCUGUCAUCAAACCGAAGAUACUAUUGGACAAUGAUGCAGCGGAGGAGAGUGAGUUGGACCACUCCAGACCCAUAUCUAAGGACAUCCAUGACUGUAAAUCCCCCAUAUGGAACCAAUCAAAGGACCAUCUUGACUUCUCCUGUGUUAAGUCAGUUGGAGUUCUGGACAGUUCUGCUCAGAAACAUAAAAUUCGUCUGAGCAAAAAGAGAAAGCACAGACUUCCGGGGCUAAAGACGAGAAAGACCUUCAAGAUAAGACGCACUGAAAUCAAAGCCCCUGACAUCAAAUUCCUCAAACCCUCUCCUCCUCCAACCCUCUCUCCCACAUCACUUCCUUCUUCCUCCUCUUCCUGCUUCUCUCUCUCCUAUGUCUUUCCGUCCUCUGUUUUCUACAACAUCCCUCCGUCCGCUGAAGAACAGGACCCUGUGACAACACCGACACAGGACAACCUCUCUGUUGAGACCACUGAAAGCAGCAGAAAGCCAGAUUCAAGUCCCAAGCAGCCUCUGUCCAAAUUCAUGACAGUCCUGAGAGACAAAACCAAGAGGAAGAUGAACUAGUGAAGAGAACUAGGUCUUGGUGAUCAAAUAGUAACCCAUGGCUCCUUCUACUAUCCCCUACCUGUACCCUACCUCUAGCCCCUACUUACACCCUACCUCUGUCCCCUGCCUAUACCCUACCUCUUCCCUACCUGUACUCGACCUCUAGGCCCUACCUGUGCCCUACCUCUUCACCCUACCUGCCCUCUACCUCUAGCCCCUACUUGCAACCUACCUCUAUUCCCUACCUGUACCCUACCUCUAUCCCCUACCUGCACCCUACCUCUAUCCCGUACCUGCACCUUACCUCUUUCCCCUACCUGCACCCUACCUCUAUCCCCUACCUGCACCCCACCUCUAUUCCCUACCUGCACCCCACCUCCAGACCCUACCUGCACCACAUCUCUAUCCCUUACCUGCACCCUACCCUACCCUACCUCUAUCCUCUACCUCUACCUGCACCUUACCUCUAUCCCCUACCUGCACCAUACCUCAAACCCCUACCUGCACCCUGCCUCUAUCCUCUACCUGCACCCUACCUCUAUACCCUACCUGCACCCUACCUCUACUCCUACCUGCACCCCACCUCUAUCCCCUACCUGCACCCCACCUCUACCCUCUACCUGCACCCUACCUCUAUCCCCUAUCUGUACCCUACCUCUAUCCCCUACCUGUACACUACCUCUAUCCCCUAUCUGCACGCUACCUCAACCCCCUAUCUGAACCCUACCCUUAUUACCUAGCUCUACCCUACCUCUAGCCCCUACCUGCACCCUACCUCUAGGCCCUACCUGCACCCUACCUCUAGGCCCUACCUGCACCCCACCUCUACCCCCUACCUGCACCCUACCUCUAUUACCUACCUAUUCCCCACCUCCAUCCCUACCUGCACCCUACCUCUAUUACCUACCUACACCCUACCUCUCCCCCUUACCUGUACCCUACCUCUAUCCCCUAUCUGCACCCUACCUCACCCCACUACCUGCACCCCACCUCUAUCCUCUACCUGCACCCUACCUCUAACCCCUACCUGCACCCUACCUCUAUUACCUACCUAUACCCUACCUCUAUCCCCUAUCUGCACCCUACCUCUACUACCUACCUGCACCCCACCUCUAUCCUCUACCUGCACCCUACCUCUAUCCCCUACCUGCACCCUACCUCUAUUACCUACCAAUACCCUACCUCUAUCCCCUAUCUGCACCCUACCUCUACCACCUACCUGCACCCCACCUCUAUCCUCUACCUGCACCCUACCUCCAUCCCCUACCUGCACCCUACCUCUAUUACCUACCUAUACCCUACCUCUAUCCCCUAUCUGCACCCUACCUCUACCACCUACCUGCACCCCACCUCUAACCUCUACCUGCACCCUACCUCUAUCCCCUACCUGCACCCUACCUCUAUUACCUACCUAUACCCUACCUCUAUCCCCUAUCUGCACCCUACCUCUACUACCUACCUGCACCCCACCUCUAUCCUCUACCUGCACCCUACCUCUAUCCCCUACCUGAACCCACCCUCCCUCCUACCUGGGACCCUACCUCUAUCCCCUACCUGUACACUACCUCUAUCCCCUAUCUGCACGCUACCUCAACCCCCUACCUGAACCCUACCCUUAUUACCUAGCUCUACCCUACCUCUAGCCCCUACCUGAACCCUACCUCUAUCCCCUACCUGCACCCUACCUCUAGGCCCUACCUGCACCCUACCUCUAUCCCCUACCUGCACCCCACCUCUCCCCCCUACCUGCACCCUACCUCUAUUACCUACCUAUUCCCCACCUCCAUCCCUACCUGCACCCUACCUCUAUUACCUACCUACACCCUACCUCUAACCUCUACUUGUACCCUACCUUACCCCUACCUCUAUCCCCUACCUGCACCUUACCUCUAUCCCCUAUCUGUACCCUACCUCUCCCCCCUACCUGUACCCUACCUCUAUCCCCUAUCUGCACCCUACCUCACCCCACUACCUGCACCCCACCUCUAUCCUCUACCUGCACCCUACCUCUAACCCCUACCUGCACCCUACCUCUAUUACCUACCUAUACCCUACCUCUAUCCCCUAUCUGCACCCUACCUCUACUACCUACCUGCACCCCACCUCUAUCCUCUACCUGCACCCUACCUCUAUCCCCUACCUGCACCCUACCUCUAUUACCUACCUAUACCCUACCUCUAUCCCCUAUCUGUACCCUACCUCUACCAACUACCUGCACCCCACCUCUAUCCUCUACCUGCACCCUACCUCUAUCCUCUACCUGCACCCUACCUCUAUCCCCUACCUGAACCCACCCUCCCUCCUACCUGGGACUCUACCUCUAUCUCCUACCUGCACUCUACCUCUAUUCCUUACCUGCACCCUACGUCUAGUCCCUACCUGAACCCUACCUCUAACCCCUACCUGCACCCUACCUCUAGGUCCUGCCUGCACCCUACCUCUAUCCCCUACCUGCACCCUACCUCUAUCCCCUACCUUCACCCUACCCUACCUCUACUCCCUACCUGUACCCUACCUCUUUCCCCUACCUGCACCCCACCUCUAGCCUCUACCUGCACCCUACCUCUAUCCCUACCUGCACCCUACCCUACCUCUAUGCCCUACCUGUACCCUACCUCCCUCCUACCUGGGACCCUACCUCUAUCCCCUACCUGUACACUACCUCUAUCCCCUAUCUGCACGCUACCUCAACCCCCUACCUGAACCCUACCCUUAUUACCUAGCUCUACCCUACCUCUAGCCCCUACCUGAACCCUACAUCUAUGCCCUACCUGCACCCUACCUCUAUCCCCUACCUGCACCCUACCCUACCUCUACUCCCUACCUGUACCCUACCUCUAUCCCCUACCUGCACCCCACCUCUAGCCUCUACCUGCACCCUACCUCUAUCCCUACCUGCACCCUACCCUACCUCUAUCCCCUACCUGUACCCUACCUCCAUUCCCUACCUGCACCCCACCUCUAGCCUCUACCUGCACCCUACCUCUAUCCCCUACCUGCACCCUACCUCUAUCCCCUAUCCAUACCCUACCUCUAUCCCCUAUCCGUACCCUACCUCUAACCCCUACCUGCACCCUACCUCUAUCCCCUAUCUGUACCCUACCUCUAUCCUCUACCUGUACCCCACCUCCAGCCCCUACCUGUACCCUACCUCUAUCCCUACCUGCACCCUACCUCUAUCCCCUACCUGCACCCUACCCUACCUCUAUCCCCUACCUGUACCCUACCUCUAUCCCCUACCUGCACCCCACCUAUAUCCUCUACCUGCACCCUACCUCUAUCCCCUAUCUGUACCCUACCUCUAACCCCUACCUGUACCCUACCUCUAUCCCCUAUUUGCACCCUACCUCCAUCCCCUACAUGUACCCUACCGCUAUUACCUACCUAUACCCUACCUCAACCCCUACCUGCACCCUACCUCUAUCCCUACCUGCACUCUACCUCUAUUCCUUACCUGCACCCUACGUCUAGGCCCUACCUGAACCCUACCUCUAACCCCUACCUGCACACUACCUCUAGGUCCUACCUGCACCCUACCUCUAACCCCUACCUGCACCCUACCUCUACCCCCUACCUGCACCCUACCUCUACUCCCUACCUGCACCCUACCCUACCUCCCUCCCCUACCUGCACCCACCCUCCCACCCCUACCUGGCACCCUACCUCUACCCCCUACCUGCACUCUACCUCUAUUCCUUACCUGCACCCUACGUCUAGUCCCUACCUGAACCCUACCUCUAACCCCUACCUGCACCCUACCUCUUGGUCCUGCCUGCACCCUACCUCCCACCCCUACUGCACCCUACCUCUAUCCCUACCUGCACCCUACCCUACCUCUCUCCCCUACCUGUACCCUACCUCUAUCCCCUACCUGCACCCCACCUCUAGCCUCUACCUGCACCCUACCUCUAUCUCCUACCUGCACCCCACCUCUAAUCCCUACCUGCACCCUACCUCUAUUCCCUACCUGCACCCUACCUCUAUUCCCUACCUGCACCCCACCUCUAAUCCCUACCUGCACCCCACCUCUAUCCUCUACCUGCACCCUACCUCUAUCCCCUAUCUGUACCCUACCUCUAUCCCCUAUCUGCAUCCUACCUCCAUCCCCUACCUGUACCCUACCUCUAUUACCUACCUUACCCUACCUCCAUCCCCUACCUGAACCCUACCUCUAACCCCUACCUGCACCCUACCUCUAUGCCCUACCUGCACCCCACCUCUAUCCCCUACCUGCACCCUACCUCUAUCCCCUACCUGAACCCUACCUCUAUCCCCUAUCUGUACCCUACCUCUAUCCCCUACCUCUACCCUACCUCUAUCCUCAAUCUGCACCCUACCUCACUCCCCUACCUGCACCCCACCUCUAAUCUCUACCUUUACCCUACCUCUAUCCCCUACCUGCACCCUACCUCUAUCCCCUAUCUGUACCCUACCUCUAUUCCCUACCUGUACCCCACCUCCAGCCCCUACCUGUACCCUACCUCUAUUUCCUACCUGCACCCUACCUGAAUCCCCUACCUGUACCCUACCUCUAGGUCCUACCUGUACCCUACCUCUAACCCCUACCUGCACCCUACCUCUAGGUCCUACCUGCACCCUACCUCUAUCCCCUACCUGCACCCUACUUCUAUCCCUUACCUGCACCCUACCUCCUUCCCCUACCUGCACCCUACCUCUAUCCCCUACCUGUACUUUACUUCUUUCCCCUAACUGUACCCUACUUAUAAGUCCUAGCCACUACCUCUUUAGUGUUUACUGUUUUAGGUGUGUAAGCAAUAACACUGCAGUUGCACACAGUAAUGAAAUAAGCAGACAUAUCUUUGAUCAAAUGAUUCUCUUGCUAUAUUGAGUGUCUUACCAACACUUUUAAUAACAAAUACAUUAUUUCUCUAACUACGAAUGAGAUUCUGUAAGAUCUGAAUAAAUGGAUUAAUUUAAGCACAAGUAUAUGGUGUUGUAUGGUAAAAUGAUUGAGGGUCAUAAGAAGUGAG
ensembl:lncRNA uncharacterized LOC115191873